rnacentral:tRNA from 1 species
GGGAAGGUUGCUCAGUGGUAGAGCACUUGCCUGGCAUGCAUGAGACCCUAGGUUCAAUUCCUCAGCACCA